rnacentral:lncRNA from 1 species
GGGAACUGCUGAGAAUUUGGCCCCAGACAAUUUCUCCUCCAAAUUCCGUACACUUUUGUUCCUAUUAGUCUGGCUUUAGGAGUGACUCCAUCCUAAAAAUGCCCAGGAAUGAGCUCAUUUUGUGCCUACCUCACUGAAAAGCCUCUCAUGUGGAUGGAGGAGCCCAGUGGGAAUGGGAUCCCUUUCGAGGUGUGGAUAUGAGGGAAGAUGGAGCCAAGGCACAAUUUUGGGAAGCUGAGGUCCAGAUCAAGUCACUGGGAUCUUCCUGCCAAGGACCAGGGUCUGAAGGCUGGGACUGUGCUGCCCUACUUUGUGAUCCUUGUUCCCUGGUGGUUUUCAUCCCAGACAGGACUGGUGUGUAUCUUGUGGGGAAACUCCAUCCUUGGGAGAUCAGAAGCUUUUGAUCUGUAGAUGGGAACUGUGAAAUGUCUGAUCAAAGGAGAAAGGACCUGAGAUACUCCAGAUAAAGCCAUGUCCAUGAGAUGAGCUUCAGCCCAAGUGUGUUUCCAGCUCCAGAAUAUAUUUACCUCUCUAUUUUUAUCCCUAGGGUGAAUUUGGCCAGUUUCUAAGUGACAAAAGGCUACUUCAGCAUCAUUUCUGGUUUCUUUUGCAUGUCUGCUGUUCUGCUGACACAUAAAACUCCUCCCUCUUCUUGGGGAGAAGCAUCCUAGAUUUGAGUCCCCAGAACUACUGCAUUCCCACUGUGUUUUGUGUACAAUACAGAGGGGAAAAGCUCCAACAGGAGAAUUGUGGAAAGGAGUCACAACCAGCCCUGUGCUUGGAUGUAAGGACUUUUGCCUAGAUUGCAGGUUCUGAGUCUUUACUGAUACCUUAAGCAUCUUAAACUGGCACACUCAUACUGAGGAAGAAGAAUUUGGUGUUUGGGUUGAGCAAAACUUUGAAUUCUUCACCAAUAUUAACAAAUCUUCCAUCAAAAUAAGUAUACUUCCCUGAGAGGGUUUGGUUUCAGUCAGACAGCAGUUUUUGGCAUAGUAAUUUUAUUUCCCUUCCUCAAAAAAUCCAGAUAAGUUUCCUAAUUACAUGCCCAACAAAAGAUUGCAAAAGAUGUUUUAAACCCAGUUGUAGCAGUUGUGGUGUGAAUCUUCCAAAGAUCAUCUGUUCAUCCAGGUAUCAGGAUGCAUAACCCAGGAUAUUGCAUAAGUAUGUAGGCUAUUGAUGACAAAGAGAGCACAAGAUGGUGCCUAAAAUAAACAGAAAAAUAUAGAAAAUUAUCUGUCA